GACGAACCGUGCGAACGUUAUUCGGAAUCACUGGGCUUAAAGCGCGUGUAGGCGGGGUGGCACGUCGGUCGCUGAAAGCCCCCGGCUCAACCGGGGAAGGGGCGCCGAUACGACCACCCUGGAGGGACGUAGGGGGACCUGGAACUUCCGGUGGAGCGGUGAGAUGCGUUGAGAUCGGAAGGAACGCCCGUGGCGAAAGCGAGGUCCUGGACGUUUACUGACGCUGAGACGCGAAAGCCAGGGGAGCGAACGGG
rnacentral:rRNA from 1 species